UUUCAAAUCAAAUCUCUUUCCAAAACCGAUCAUGUAACAUCCAAAAUCACUUUAUUAGACUUCGGUAGGAUCGUGCAUCCGGAAAAACACCACCCAUUCCCUUCCCUUGGUGUGCCUGCCCAGCAUUUUUUAAUUUUACCGACAAGAACAAACUAUUUCCAAUAUUCUCUUUUCUCCCCUUUUAUCUUCUCAAAAUUUUCGCCCUCCGUAAACAUAGUAUUAGGGUUUAUAUGUGACUUCUGGAAAUUAAAAAAAUACCGCUUGAUAACUGCCCAGCUAUCAGCUGCCGGCGGCUCAAUGGUCGGAUUUUAUUUUUGCAUUACUCAUUGAAGUCUCUUAUUAUUUUUCUUGUGCUAUUCAACCCUUGAAGCAGAUAGUGAUUAAGUAUAUGCUCUACCGAUUUCUUCAAUUUCUAAGGUAUGCCUCUUUUAUCUUUCAGUUUCUAUUAACUCCAUGAAAUUGAAUGUAUCACUUCCUUUCAUAUAUUUGUUGAUUGAUUUAUUCAAUGAGAUAAAACAGAGAUGAUUUUCUCUGGUGAAGGACAAAGAUUUUUUUUUUUUUUUUU
rnacentral:misc_RNA from 1 species